GCGCUCGUGGUGUAGCGGUAACACACAGUCUGCGUCUAGAAUGGAGAACAGAGCAGCUUGGACUGGAUUCGGGGUUCGAAUCCCCGCGAGCGCA